AGCAGCCGCGGUAAUUCCAGCUCCAAUAGCGUAUAUUAAAGUUGUUGCAGUUAAAAAGCUCGUAGUUGAAUUUCGGGGUUCUACCGUUGGUCGGGCUUUGUCUGUACUGGCGUGUAGAUUUUCUACCUUCUGGGGAACCAUCAUGUUAUUAAUUUAACGUGGUGGGAAACCAGGACCUUUACCUUGAAAAAAUUAGAGUGUUCAAAGCAGGCUUAUGUCUGAAUACAUUAGCAUGGAAUAAUAAAAUAGGACGGUGGUCCUGUUUUGUUGGUUUCUGAAUCACCGUAAUGAUUAAUAGGGAUAGUUGGGGGCAUUAGUAUUCAAUUGUCAGAGGUGAAAUUCUUGGAAUUAU
rnacentral:rRNA from 1 species